rnacentral:rRNA from 1 species
CCAGACUCCUACGGGAGGCAGCAGUGGGGAAUAUUGGACAAUGGGGGCAACCCUGAUCCAGCGACGCCGCGUGAGUGAAGAAGUAUCUCGGUACGUAAAGCUCUAUCAGCAGGGAAGAAAAAAAGACGGUACCUGACUAAGAAGCCCCGGCUAACUACGUGCCAGCAGCCGCGGUAAUACGUAGGGGGCAAGCGUUAUCCGGAAUUACUGGGUGUAAAGGGAGCGUAGACGGCUAUGCAAGUCUGGAGUGAAAUGCCGGGGCUCAACCCCGGAGCUGCUCUGGAAACUGCGUGGCUUGAGUGUCGGAGGGGCAGGCGGAAUUCCCAGUGUAGCGGUGAAAUGCGUAGAUAUUGGGAGGAACACCGGCGGCGAAGGCGGCCUGCUGGACGACAACUGACGUUGAGGCUCGAAGGCGUGGGUAGCAAACAGGAUUAGAUACCCUGGUAGUCCACGCAGUAAACGAUGAAUACUAGGUGUCGGGGAGUUAAAUUUCCGGUGCCGGCGCAAACGCAAUAAGUAUUCCACCUGGGGAGUACGUUCGCAAGAAUGAAACUCAAAGGAAUUGACGGGGGCCCGCACAAG